CAAGGAAUUUUCGGGCAAUGUGAGCGAGCCUGUCCGAGCAAACGCUGCGUGCGGGAUGUCGACCUUUGUGUCGUUAACCGCUUUUCGGGGGGACGAUGACGACGGUACCACCUGAAGAUGCGGCCGGCUACCUUAGGGUCAGCAGCCGCGGUAAGACAGAGGCUGCGAGCCUUGUCCGGAGUUUCUGGGGAUAAAUCGCGCACAGGCCCAUCCCUAAGUGUGGUGUGAAAUCCCCCUGCUCAACCGGGGGAGACCAUGUCAGAUUGGGUCGCUGGAGCCCCAGAGAGACCCCUCGUCUUGCCGGUGUAGCGGUGAAAUGCGUAGAGAUAAGCAGGUAGACCAAGGUGGAAGCCAGGGGUAAAAAAUCAGGUGGUCGAUGAGACGCGACAGCGUGGGGAGCAAACCAGAUUAGAUACCCCGGUAGUCCACGCCCUAUCCGAUGACCCCUCGGCGUGAAGGACUAUCGGUGUCGGGGCGCGCCCAAGCUCCCACGAUAAGUGGUCCGCAUGGGAACUACGAGCGCAAACUUA
rnacentral:rRNA from 1 species